UACGGAGGAUCCAAGCGUUAUCCGGAAUCAUUGGGCGUAAAGCGCACGUAGGCGGUUCGUUAUGUCGGAUGUGAAAGCCCUUGGCUUAACCGAGGAAGUGCAUCCGAAACUGGCGAGCUAGAGUACGAAAGAGGAUCGCGGAAUUCCCGGUGUAGAGGUGAAAUUCGUAGAUAUCGGGAGGAACACCGGUGGCGAAGGCGGCGAUCUGGGUCGAUACUGACGCUGAGGUGCGAAAGCGUGGGGAGCAAACAGG
rnacentral:rRNA from 1 species